UGAGCCAGGUUAGGGAGAAGUAGAAGGAAUUAGAUUGAUGGGGGAGAGGCAGGAGGCAUUCCUAAGUGCAGCAACAUCAAUCAGUGUGGCACGCAGCACUAGCUAAGGAGUGCAAUCAGUAACUAGGAAACCAUCAGAUCACCCACCUUCGCUGUUCAAGCUGCCACUUUUGAAUACCUAAGGGCAAUUUUUGUCUUUUGUCCUUUUACCAAAUCUAAGGAAUAACCAUUAUUGCUUAAGACUUUGAAGAGCGAUGUCCUACUCUGCUUGCUCAGGGUUUUCAGCUCUUCAUUUCCAAGCAGAGAGUUAAUAGAUGAAGACGAAACUGGCUAUCAAUAGGGAUAGGAACCCCGACAGCCUCCAUGUACUUUUCACAGCCAGAAGAACAGAAAUAGUUUCCUGGUAAACCAAGUUUGGAGAACACUGGUGAUCCUCUAAACCAAAUCUGAUGUAGAACUCUCAACUGCUCCAGCACCAGGUCUGCCUGCAUGCCGCCAUGCUCCCCGCCAUGAUGAUAAAAUGGACUAAAUCUCUGAAACUGGCUCUGUUGAACAUUUUCUGGGUGGUACCGUUCCAGAGGGGUACCACCACCCAGCAUGAUCAGACAGUGACGGACACUAGGAGGAUGUCGGUGACUCCUGUCUCGGAGACAGUGCUACCUGAGCAGGCGAGCUCCAGCCCAGCAAUGCUCAGAGUUCACAGAGUGGAGCCCUGAGCUGAAGGGCAGAAGAGCUGGAUUGCUGGUUCAGGAACAAGUGGAGGAGAGAUCAGACGGAGGCGGCAGUGCUGUGGCACCAGCACCGGAUUUAAGGAAUUUCAACUUCCGGAUCCUAACAGGCAGCUGCAGAGGGAAUCAGCCCCCUCUAAGUCCUGACAUUUCACAUUUAAGAUCACUCUCCUCCAUCAUGGCCACCACAACGCCGCCAUUUAACCAACAUUGGUGCUGUGACUCGGAUACACCACCAAACACCAAGGACCUGCUGUGACCACUGCCACCUGCUGCCUCCUCCCCCAUCCAGCAAGACCGCGUGAGACCAUGAGUGCACGCGUAUCCCUUGCCACCUCCGCUGGACGCCCACACAGCUACCACUACUGAUACCGCCAUGAUUCUUCACACCAUGAGACAAAGGGGCAGAUACGAUACAUUUACCACCUACAUUGGCGGACAUGGGCGGGCACCGGUAAAUCUGGCCGCAUAACAGCGUCGCGGGAACUUCUGCCAGCGAACAGGCAAAUAAGAGUUACUUUAUCUCCAAGCUUUCUGCUAAAGCUCUAAACCUUUCUCCCUUCCCACUUCUGCGUCUGCCAUGUGCAACCUUUUCUGUCUGACUUCCACCGGCAGUGGGCGGGCUCAAAUGGGCGGGCUUGGGUGGUUUCUACGACUUGCCCUAACUCACCUUAACUCCACCCACUCAUUCUCACGUGCAUACAGACAGGGCCUUGAUCUUUGCCUUGUCCCUAAUUCCAAAAAAAAUAAGUUCUCAUGCAGCACAAGCUUUUCUCUUCCCAGUUCCCUGUUCUAACUCACUGUUCAGCCAAUGAUACAGGACCACCACAGGACCACCACAGAACCGGAGUCCAGAAAUCAUCAACAUCUUGUCAAACAGAAAGUUCCCAGCCACAGCCAAGAGGGAUACAUGUCUCCAGAGCAAACGGAUGACAGACAGCAUUCCACAACACCUGUCUACCUCAGAAGACUCCCCCAAGAGCCAACCAAGUCCAGUUGUCAGCUGGAAGCAGUUUUUGAGAGGAACGAUGACGCCCCUAUUCCCAUCUACCUGCUUUUUUAUAAUAAGUGAAAGUCUGGGAUGUAAGGAUUCUAUCCUUAAUUACAUCAUCAGCCUGUGACAGCGUCCCAGCCUAAAAAGCGGGUGGGCCCUCUGUGUGUCCUUCUCUUUCCUUUCCGCUCCUUCCUUCCGUCUGUCUUCUUCUCUCCCUCUCUCCCUCCCCACUUCCCUUUCCUCUCUCUCUCCCUCCCUCUCCCUCCCUCUCUCUCUCUCUCUCUCUCUCUCUCUCCCUCUCCCUCUCCCUCUCCCUCUCCCUCUCCCUCUCCCUCUCCCUCUCCCUCUCCCUCUCCCUCUCCCUCUCCCUCUCCCUCUCUCUCUCUCUCUCUCUCUCUCUCUCUCUCUCUCUCUCUCUUUCUCUCUCUCCCUCCUUCUCUCCCUCUCUCCCUCUCCCCCGCCUCAAUAAAGCUCUAAAAAGGUAACCAUGGCUCGUGACUCUCUUCCAGGACUCUCCUCCGUUGGCAUGGCCACCAUGGGCGUCGGCCAGCCACGAGCAGCACGCCGUUUAACCAACAAUAUCCCCCCCAUAGGCUCAUAGAUUUGAAUGCUUGGUCACCAGAGAGUGGCACUAUUAGGAGGUGUGGCCCUGUUGGAGGAAGCAUGUCAUUGGAGUCUUGUUCCUGUGUUCUUCAGAUCCAUUUCCACAGACCUAACUGCCGAGCUCUCUAAAUAAGGAAUUUGAUCUACCAUGUGUUCCCACUACCAUGUGACACCGUUGGACCAAAGCUGUGGGACCCAUCAGACAUGAACUGAAGACUGAAACUCCAAGCCAAUGGAAAACUUUUCUUCUAAUAAUGUGGUUUGUGUUAAGUACUUGGUAAAGUGACAGGAAGUUGGCUAAUGCAGCUCUUCUCCAGAAGACAUGGAGCCUGAGUCUCAACACCUACAGGCACAAGUUGUCAUUAAGCCCCAACCCACAGCAACAAUUCAACUGCCACACUCUGCCUAUUGAACGAUAAGCAUUUCCUCUGCUCUUAAGCAGUGCUGCUCUGUCUUGAAGCCCACUAGUCUGGACCUUUUAUCCAUGGCCCUAACCUAUUCGAACUCAGGCUUGUAUAAGCACCUUGCAAUGAUAGAAUUUUGUCUGAAAGCACUUAUUCCAUGGGUCAAGACCAAUAACAACCCCCCCCCCCCCGUCUCCUCUACCCCUCCACCCCCGGCCACCAGCACCUCUGAUUUAGUUCUUCCCAGUCCUGGCUCUCUGCCUAUGAGCUAAUACCUGUAACAUCCCCAUCGCUGUGAGCCAUCUCUUCAUGUGUUAACCAAUGUCAAAGUGUCUAGGACUAGAAUAUAUAGUCAAAUCAGUAUGUAUCAGUAGAGGGUUCCAGCAAGCAGUGUUCUGAUAAUUGCUAGUUAACUGUUAAGACUAAAACAAACCCUGGUGAACCCAGCAGAGAGGAGUUUUCAGUCCCAUUUAAUCAAUCUACAGAAAGUCUAAGCAAAGAUGAAGAUAAACUGUCCAGUCUCCAAAAUGAAUGCAACUCAAAAGUUUCCCAGUGACAAUAAACUACACUUUUUCCUUUACAAAGCAUGAUCACAAAUGUGUUUGGUUCUAUCCUCAAAAUGACCAGGUGAUCUAUUAAUAGGCAAGGUGAUAAUGAUGACUCUCAUUUCAGAGAUGAGGGAGCAAGGCUAAAGGACACCCAGUGCCACUUAGCUAUCAAGUAAGGAGCUUUGCUUGCAAACGAGUUUUCUUUACUUUUACUUCACUGAGUUUUUCAGAAAAUUCCAUGAUUAGUCAUCCCACAAGAAAUUCAAUGGCCAAACAACUUAAGAAGUGGUGAAGACUUUUAUCAUGGUCAAGAGCAGAGAAACCUGGUUCCUUUUGUUUCUUACAGUGUUCCCCACACUUGUCUGAUCACCUUUUAUCCAAUAACUGUUAAUGUACCAUAGAAUUUUGAGUAGCAUUGCCAUAUACCACUCCAUUUCCCAAGAAGCCCAGAGAAUGCCAACUGAAUAAAGAUGUUGCUUCUUGGAGGAACCAUUUUCUCUUAGGAGUCUCUAGCCUCUCACUAAAUAUUGCGUCCUGUCUGUAAAGAGAGAGGGUCUCUGGUGAGGAUGGCCAGUAGACUAUUGGGACAAAUAAAAAUGCAUGGACAUACUCACCAUAAAAUGUGGACCCUUCCUGACACAGUUCUGACUCAGUGUUUUCAAAGCACAGUUUACAGCACAUCUACAUCCAAACCAUCCAGGAGGUGUGGAGAACAUAAACAUUCCCAGACUAGGGCUAAAUCUAAGGUCAGGGACAGAGGAUCUGCAUUUUAACAAGCUCACUAAGUGAUUCUGACACAACUCUCACUUGAGAAGCACAACUUAAGGUAGCCAACAACAGAUGUGAGAUACUUUUCCAAUGAAAUCCAAGUCAUAAACUGAAAUGAAAAUGGCCCAAGAUGCAUCCAACAGGGGACUAUUUGGUUCCUUGGUAAAUAACCACUUCUCAAUGAGACCAGCCUUCCUGGGGAAGGCUAUUCCAUGGUCUAUCAGAUCUCUUCAUUAGGAAACUUCCCUGCUCUUCCAUCUAAGUAGCUUUUCUUAAUUUGAUCCUAUUACUCCCAUGCUUUAUACAAAGUUGAGUACAGCAGUUAGACUCAAUAAGCAAAAAUGCUAUCUAUAUAAAUGCCACUCAAGGCUCAUGUUUCUAUCUAAUUACCCUCAAAUGGCCCCAUCUCUCUACAAAGCAAAGUCAAGCCAGGUCUCCAAGGCCAGCUAUUUCAAAUAUCAAAUCUUGAUUUGGACAAGGACUUCCAUCUUCAGAGUCAAGAAAGAAUCCACUAGUUCUCUCAAACAUAUGGCAUUCUCACAGCUCUUCGACUACAUUCCAAACUUCAGGACUCAGAGGGCUGUUCAAGAUGGAGGCACUUAAGGCAAUUAGAAUGUGACCAUAACUAGAAUCCAAUGCUGUGAUUUCCUGGAUUGGGGGGAAAGACCAUGGACAAGGUCACACCAGUGUUAUGACAAUCAAAUAAAACAAGGCAAGACAAUGGGAGAGGUGUGGGGUGCCCGUGAGAGAGUUUCUGAUGACUAUUAGGAGUUUUAGAAAUUGCAAGAAGCUGUCAACUUGGGUGGCCAACAUCCUUAAUAGGUCAUUAAAAACACAAAUACAAUCUUUUUAAGAUUUCCUUCCCAGGAGUGGGUGGGUAGACAAGAUGACAACCUCAGAUUUCAAAAAGGAAUGUUCUUUGAAUAUUCAGAAUGUAGUUAGGGAAGACUGUUUUUUGAGAACAACUCUUUGGAAGAAUAAAUGAUCCAUUCAGAGAUCACUUGAAGAAUUCCAGUUGAUUUUCCAAGUUUCCAACUACCUUGGACAGAGUUCAAUGGAUUGUCAUGCUUAAAAUAAUAAAAAUAUUUGGCACUUAAGUCACAUACA